rnacentral:rRNA from 1 species
AACGAACGCUGGCGGCGCGCCUAACACAUGUAAGCCGGACGAGAAACCCUCCGCAAGGGGGGCGGUAAAGUGGCGAACGGGUGAGUAAUGCAUGGGUGAUCUACCCUAUAACGGGGGAUAACCUCUCGAAAGGGAGGCUAAGACCGCAUACGAUCCCGGGACGACGGUUCCGGGAUGAAAAAUGGCCCGCAAGGGCUGUUGUUAUUGGAUGAGCCCAUGUCCCAUCAGCUUGUUGGUAGGGUAACGGCCUACCAAGGCUAUGACGGGUAGCUGGUCUGAGAGGACGACCAGCCACACUGGCACUGAGACACGGGCCAGACUCCUACGGGAGGCAGCAGUGAGGAAUCUUGCGCAAUGAGCGAAAGCUUGACGCAGCGACGCCGCGUGGGGGAUGAAGGCUUUCGGGUUGUAAACCCCUUUUGGGAGGAAAGAAAGCCGGGGAAUGAACAAUUCCCCGGGUUGACGGUACCUCCAGAAAAAGCCACGGCUAACUCUGUGCCAGCAGCCGCGGUAAGACAGAGGUGGC